rnacentral:rRNA from 1 species
GAUUAAGCCAUGCAUGUGUAAGUAUAAAUAGUUAACUUUGAAACUGCGAAUGGCUCAUUAUAUCAGUUAUAGUUUAUUUGGUGAAGUGUACUACUUGGAUAACCGUAGUAAUUCUAGGGCUAAUACAUGAGAAAGUCCUCUGGUGAGGUGUGUUUAUUAGAAUGAAAACCAUAUGCUUCGGCAUGAUAGUGAGUAAUAGUAACCUAUCGUAUCGCAUGCUUAAUGUAGCGAUGAGUCUUUCAAGUUUCUGCCCUAUCAGCUUUCGAUGGUAGUAUAUGGGCCUACCAUG